rnacentral:rRNA from 1 species
UUGCAUAUCAAUAAGCGGAGGAAAAGAAACCAACAGGGAUUGCCCCAGUAAUGGCGAAUGAAGCGGCAAGAGCCCAAAUUUGAAAUCAGGCCCUCGUGGCUUGAGUUGUAAUUUGGAGACGGGAUACUAGAGAGAGGGAGGGCGACUAAGUGCCUUGGAACAGGCUGCCGUAGAGGGUGAGAGCCCCGUGAGUCGCGUGAACUUGAUCAAUUAGUGCCCGCCGAAGAGUCGAGUUGUUUGGGAAUGCAGCUCUAAGUGGGUGGUAUAUUCCAUCUAAGGCUAAAUAUUAGCGAGAGACCGAUAGCAAACAAGUACAGUGAUGGAAAGAUGAAAAGAACUUUGGAAAGAGAGUGAAAUAGUACGUGAAAUUGUUGAAAGGGAAGGGUAUUUGAUCCGACAUGGUGUUUAGCAGCGGCCCGUUCCUCGUGGAUGGGUGCACCUGGUUUACACUGGGCCAGCAUCGGUUCUGGGAGCCAUAUACGGGGCCGGCGAAUGUGGCCCUUCGAUUCUGUCGGAGGGUGUUAUAGCGCCAGCCAGACGUGGCUAUCCGGGACCGGGGACUGCGGCGAUUCUAUCGCCAAGGAUGCUGGCAGAACGAGCAAAUACCGCCCGUCUU